UGGACAAAUUAUUGUAUUCGAUUGUAUUCGGCUGUAUUACGGCGUGAAACAGGGGAAUACACUGUUUUUAAACAGAAAGUGAAUCAAUUAACAUAAUAGACUCCU
rnacentral:pre_miRNA from 1 species